GGCUUGUUGGUCUAGGGGGUGCUGCUUAGGGUGCGAGGUCCCGGGUUCAAUCCCGGAUGAGCCC